rnacentral:rRNA from 1 species
CGAACGAGAGCGUAGAGAAAGCUUGCUUUUUCUACAAUCUAGUGGCAAACGGGUGAGUAACGCGUAAACAACCUGCCCUACGGAUGGGGACAACAGCUGGAAACGGCUGCUAAUACCGAAUACGUUCCGAAAGUCGCAUGACUAUCGGAAGAAAGGAUGGCCUCUAUUUAUAAGCUAUCGCCGGAGGAGGGGUUUGCGUCUGAUUAGCUAGUUGGAGGGGUAACGGCCCACCAAGGCGACGAUCAGUAGCCGGUCUGAGAGGAUGAACGGCCACAUUGGAACUGAGACACGGUCCAGACUCCUACGGGAGGCAGCAGUGGGGAAUCUUCCGCAAUGGGCGAAAGCCUGACGGAGCAACGCCGCGUGAGUGAAGACGGCCUUCGGGUUGUAAAGCUCUGUUAUACGGGACGAAUAGUCUUGUGGUUAAUACCCAUGAGAAGUGACGGUACCGUAAGAGAAAGCCACGGCUAACUACGUGCCAGCAGCCGCGGUAAUACGUAGGUGGCAAGCGUUGUCCGGAAUUAUUGGGCGUAAAGGGCGCGCAGGCGGCUUCUUAAGUCUGUCUUAAAAGUGCGGGGCUUAACCCCGUGAUGGGAUGGAAACUGGGAAGCUCAGAGUAUCGGAGAGGAAAGCGGAAUUCUUAGUGUAGCGGUGAAAUGCGUAGAUAUUAGGAGGAACACCAGUGGCGAAAGCGGCUUUCUGGACGAAAACUGACGCUGAGGCGCGAAAGCCAAGGGAGCGAACGGGAUUAGAUACCCCGGUAGUCCUGGCCGUAAACGAUGGGUACUAGGUGUAGGAGGUAUCGACCC